AGAGUUUGAUCCUGGCUCAGGAUGAACGCUAGCUACAGGCUUAACACAUGCAAGUCGAGGGGAAACGACAUCGAAAGCUUGCUUUUGAUGGGCGUCGACCGGCGCACGGGUGAGUAACGCGUAUCCAACCUGCCCACCACUUGGGGAUAACCUUGCGAAAGUAAGACUAAUACCCGAUGAUAUCUCUAGACGACAUCUGAAAGGGAUUAAAGAUUUAUCGGUGAUGGAUGGGGAUGCGUCUGAUUAGCUUGUUGGCGGGGUAACGGCCCACCAAGGCAACGAUCAGUAGGGGUUCUGAGAGGAAGGUCCCCCACAUUGGAACUGAGACACGGUCCAAACUCCUACGGGAGGCAGCAGUGAGGAAUAUUGGUCAAUGGGCGAGAGCCUGAACCAGCCAAGUAGCGUGCAGGACGACGGCCCUAUGGGUUGUAAACUGCUUUUAUAAGGGAAUAAAGUGAGUCUCGUGAGACUUUUUGCAUGUACCUUAUGAAUAAGGACCGGCUAAUUCCGUGCCAGCAGCCGCGGUAAUACGGAAGGUCCGGGCGUUAUCCGGAUUUAUUGGGUUUAAAGGGAGCGUAGGCCGGAGAUUAAGCGUGUUGUGAAAUGUAGACGCUCAACGUCUGCACUGCAGCGCGAACUGGUUUCCUUGAGUACGCACAAAGUGGGCGGAAUUCGUGGUGUAGCGGUGAAAUGCUUAGAUAUCACGAAGAACUCCGAUUGCGAAGGCAGCUCACUGGAGCGCAACUGACGCUGAAGCUCGAAAGUGCGGGUAUCGAACAGGAUUAGAUACCCUGGUAGUCCGCACGGUAAACGAUGGAUGCCCGCUGUUGGUCUGAAUAGGUCAGCGGCCAAGCGAAAGCAUUAAGCAUCCCACCUGGGGAGUACGCCGGCAACGGUGAAACUCAAAGGAAUUGACGGGGGCCCG
rnacentral:rRNA from 1 species